CCUUUGUACACACCGCCCGUCGCUACUACCGAUUGAACGGCUCAGUGAGGCCUUCGGACUGGCCCCAAGAGGUCGGCAACGACCACUCAGGGCCGGAAAGUUGGUCAAACUCGGUCGUUUAGAGG
rnacentral:rRNA from 1 species